UACCACCCUUCUUCCCGUGUUGGCGUUUGCAAAGCAUAUGCAUACGCACUAUUGUCCAUUUUCCUUUCUGUACGCACGACGCACUCUCAAUUCACCAUCCUCUGUUGGGAGCACCGGCACAGUUGGUGCGUCCGCAUUUCCCCCUUAGAUGAGAACCGUGUGACUCCUCAGUACCCCUUUCCUCCUUCCCCAACGUUCAUCCCUAUCCUCUCCUUCUCCGUUUCAACGCCCACCACCCACCAACGAACCAACCGCCGCCGCUCACUACCACCGGCGACCAUCCAGCCACAACCCUUUCUCUUCUCCUUUCGUCUUCUCUGAGCCAUCCAACACCCACCAUCUUCCUUAUCACCACCGCGAAGUUCUCUACUUCUGUUUCAAAUCUCCAUCAUUGUCCAUCCGCUCUGCAACCGCGGCUUUCUCCUCCUCUCUUUCUUCUUCUUCCCCUCGCCUUCCCUCCGCAAGUCCACAACACCGCCGCGCCCCUUUCUUUUCUUCUUCCUCUCUUCUCACCUUCGCCGCGGGGUCACCACAACAACCAGACCAUCACUCCUUCUUCAUCACCCUCUUCAGCCUUCCCUGACCUCCAACCAUCACCGUCGACCACGACCCUCUUCCUUCUUCUUCCCUUCGCAGCGCCGCCAUUGCAACCUCCUUGGCUCAGCGCCGAACCAGUCUCUAGCCACACCAACCUCUUCUCAUCUCUCCACGAACCCUGAUCCACACCCCUGUCCGAACCCUGGAGCCGCCUAGGGCGAUUGAACCUUCGGCGACACCACCCAGCACGCCUCAACACCUUCACUGUUUCGACGCCUCACCUCUGCGAUUCCACCAUCGCCGCACCCUCCUCGCCGAACCACAUGCUGAGCACCACCGCACCCCAGGAGCUUACCCCUGCAUCUCAGCCUCUGUUCCGCCACUGCCGCUUCUGCCUGCACCCCUGUUGAAGCCGCCACCUCUGGGCCGGCAUCCAUCUGCUUCCGAACCCCCCUGUUGCUCCAUCCCUCCACCUCUGCUGCUGCACAACCCCCGCUUCCCCUAUUUUGGCGUUUUUCUUUUCUAUUCUUCAAACAGCAUCACCAUCAUUCUUGCAGCCACUCUAUCGCCUAACCCACCAGCUGAAGGUGGAGGUGACACAAUGACGACUCCUUCCACUCCGCAUGAUCGUGAGCACCGAGGACGGUGCUACAUCUUAAGUGUGGAGAGGUUGUACAUCUUCAGCAAGUGCAUUUUGGGUGACAAUUUUCAUUUCUGAACACUUUAUUAAUAUAGUUUCUUUUUAUGUUUUUUUGGUACUUUGUAUAUAUUUUAUCCUUUUGAGAAAUUUUUUACUUAGUUUAUUGCACUUUUCAAUUUUGCUUGUACAUAACUUAGUAUUAUAUAGUAGUUAUGCAUAUUUUGACAUUUUGCUCUUAAUUUUGGCUUGUACAUAUGCUUUUUGGUUUUUAGUCUUGAUUGUGAUUUGGGAUGAUGUGAUGAUUGCACCUAAGUUUGGUUUCCUAUAUACUUGCUAUUUUGGUUUGAUUGAAAUUAGAAAUUAAACUUAGGAUUUUUGACUUUUUCCAUCCAAUCACACUAUAUACAUAUAUAGAAUAAAUGUUAGUCAAAUUAAUGAAGUUUCCAAAAAGCUUACUUUUUAUAUAGGGCAUUGAAAUUCAAAUUGAAAUGAGCUGAAAUCUUUUGAAACUUGCAUGAUUUAUACAUUGUGGAAUAUGGUUUUUGAGUUGAAGAACAUACAACAUGUGAGUUUUUGAGCCUUAUUGUGUGGUUAUACCAUUUGACCAUUUAUUUCAUUCUUGUGUGUUGCUCUUCUCUAUGAUUGCAAUCUUGGGUUUGUUUAAUUCUAUAUAUCCAUUGUUUAAUGUAUAUUUAUGCAUUUAUGUGAUUGAUGCCAUUAUUUCUUUAUAGCUCACUUAACCUAAAUAGCCUACCAUUUCAUUCACCUUUAUUUACCACUUUGAGCCUAUGAAUGCCCCCUUUUUGUUCUUUAUUUUGCCACAUCAUUAACCUUAAGCGAAAAAUAAUUAAUUGUCCUAUUUGAAUCUUUGAGUAGCUUAAGUUAGUGAGAGUGUGUGAUGUUUAAGUGUGAGAAAAAUGUGGGAACUUUGAUUGAUGAAUAGGUGUUUUAAUUGUUGUUGAAAAAUAUUGAAAAUUUGGGGUGCAUACUCAUGUAAUAUUAUAGAAACCAUAUGCAUUGAUAUGUUGGUAUAUAUAUAUUAUGUUCAAAAAAAAAAAAGAAAAAAAAGAAAAAAAAAGAAAAAAAAAAGAGAAAUAAUGAAAAGGGGACAAAAUUACCCCAAUAUGAAAUUCAAUAAUAAUCAAUGUAUAUGUGAUGGAAUUGAAUUUGAUGCAUGAGUGUGUGUAUAGGUAAAAGUGAGAUUGUGGGUAGUUAAGUUUGAUAUUAGAAGUUUAUAGGUUGUGUGUGUAUUAGGUGAUAAUUUAGGCUAAUCAAAGAUUCAAAUGCAAGCUCACCUAGCCAUAUAUACAUCCUUAUCUUUAACCUUAGCCUCAUUACAACCUUGAAAAGAUCUCAUGAUUUUUGCAUAUGUACAUUAAAUUUUUGUUGAUUAGUUAGAUGAAGAGCAAACUUUAGAAAACAUGAUUAAAGGAGAAUUGAGUGGAUUGACCCUAAACACUUAAGUGAUUAGAGUGCAUACACAUAUCCGGUGAGGGUUCAAUCACUCAAUCCCAUAUUUUCACCUUUGAUCAUUGUUAUCUUGCAAGUUUUCUUAAAUUCUUUUAUAUGACUCAAUUCAAUUGUGAAUGUGAUUUGGUUAUGAUUACUUUAGCCCUUGGUUGUAUAUAGAUGCUUUCUUGAAAAUUGAUUUAUUUGGACUAAUUAAAUACAUAUAGAUAGUUAGAUAGUAUAGUUACAUACAUAUAGAUAGAUUGCAUAUAGAUAGUUACAUUGAAUAUUUGUUGAUUCUCCUUCUUCUUUUCCUUUGGUAUAGCAUGAGGACAUGAUAUUGUUUAAGUGUGGGGAUGUGAUGAAUCCACAUUUUACGAUAUUUAUUUGCUCUAUUUGGAUGUAUUUCAUCAACCUUUCUUGCAUUUAUCCAUUGAAAUAGCAUGCUUUUGUGAAUUCUUUC